rnacentral:rRNA from 1 species
UACGAAGGGUGCAAGCGUUAAUCGGAAUUACUGGGCGUAAAGGGUGCGUAGGCGGUUAGUUAAGUCUGUUGUGAAAUCCCCGGGCUCAACCUGGGAAUGGCAAUGGAUACUGGCUGGCUAGAGUGUGUCAGAGGAUGGUGGAAUUCCCCGGUGUAGCGGUGAAAUGCGUAGAGAUCGGGAGGAACAUCAGUGGCGAAGGCGGCC